rnacentral:misc_RNA from 1 species
GAUGAAGAACGCAGUAAAAUGCGAUAAGUAAUGUGAAUUGCAGAAUUCAGUGAAUCAUCGAAUCUUUGAACGCACCUUGCGCUCCUUGGUAUUCCGAGGAGCAUGCCUGUUUGAGUGUCAUUAAAUUCUCAACCAUUAUCAACUUUUGCUGAUAAUGGCUUGGAUGUGGGGGUCUAUUUUGCUGGCUUCUCAGAUAGUCAGCUCCCCUUAAAUGCAUUAGCCGGUGCCCCGCGUGGACUGUCUAUUGGUGUGAUAAUUAUCUACGCUAUAGACAUCUGCAAUCAUAUGGGUUUGCGCUGCUUCUAACAGUCUGUUGAUUCAGACAAUACAUGACAAUUUGACCUCAAAUCAGGUAGGACUACCCGCUGAACUUAAGCAUAUCAAUAAGCGGAGGA